rnacentral:lncRNA from 1 species
ACAUCGCCAAGCUUCCAAACAACUUGAGGCAGCCAAUCUGAAAGUUUUUCAAAAGAUUAUUGUAAAUAAAGGAGGUAUCUAGUUUUCCUUCCAAAAUUCACAUCUACUAUGUCACAACUAUAGAGUAAUUAAACCACUGUAUGUAAAAAUAGUAAUUUCUUCUUGACAAGUUGAACACAAAGUAAAUUCAGAAUUGUUGCAUGCACAAAUAAACAAAAGAUCUGACUACUUACAAAUCCCUUAUCUCAAUAAAUUCAAAGCUCCAGAUGUUCCUAGCAGUGUUACAAAAGGGGCUCCAGAGUUCUGCACCAUAUAUAUCAUCUCUAAAGGGAAAAUUUCAUCUCUACGGUCUGCCUCUGCUUCAGUCCCAAACCAAGCCCCUCGUAUGCAAUUGCAACCCCAAAGCAAUGCCAUUCAGAAUCAAAC